rnacentral:rRNA from 1 species
GAUGAACGCUGGCGGCGUGCUUAACACAUGCAAGUCGAACGGAAAGGCCCAAGCUUGCUUGGGUACUCGAGUGGCGAACGGGUGAGUAACACGUGGGUGAUCUGCCCUGCACUUCGGGAUAAGCCUGGGAAACUGGGUCUAAUACCGGAUAGGACCACAUUUUGGAUGGUGUGGUGGAAAGUUUUUCGGUGUGGGAUGAGCUCGCGGCCUAUCAGCUUGUUGGUGGGGUAAUGGCCUACCAAGGCGUCGACGGGUAGCCGGCCUGAGAGGGUGUACGGCCACAUUAGGACUGAGAUACGGCUCAGACUCCUACGGGAGGCAGCAGUGGGGAAUAUUGCACGAAGGGCGCCAGCCUGAUGCAGCGACGCCGCGUGGGGGAUGACGGCCUUCGGGUUGUAAACUCCUUUCGCUAGGGACGAAGCGUUAUGUGACGGUACCUGGAGAAGAAGCACCGGCUAACUACGUG